rnacentral:rRNA from 1 species
UGGGGAAUCUUGCACAAUGGGGGAAACCCUGAUGCAGCGACGCCGCGUGAACGAUGAAGCCCUUCGGGGUGUAAAGUUCUUUCGACAGGAACGAUAAUGACGGUACCUGGAGAAGAAGCUGCGGCUAACUACGUGCCAGCAGCCGCGGUAAUACGUAGGCAGCGAGCGUUGUUCGGAGUUACUGGGCGUAAAGAGUGCGUAGGCGGCGAGCCAAGUUUGGUGUGAAAUCUCCCGGCUUAACCGGGAGGGUGCGCCGAAAACUGGUUGGCUGGAGUAUGGGAGAGGAAAGCGGAAUUCCUGGUGUAGCGGUGAAAUGCGUAGAUAUCAGGAGGAACACCUGCGAUGUAGACAGCUUUCUGGACCAAAACUGACGCUGAGGCACGAAAGCGUGGGUA